rnacentral:rRNA from 1 species
AUUGAACGCUGGCGGCAUGCCUUACACAUGCAAGUCGAACGGCAGCACGGGUGCUUGCACCUGGUGGCGAGUGGCGGACGGGUGAGUAAUACAUCGGAACGUACCUUAUCGUGGGGGAUAACGCAGCGAAAGUUGCGCUAAUACCGCAUACGCCCUGAGGGGGAAAGCGGGGGACCGUAAGGCCUCGCGCGAUUAGAGCGGCCGAUGUCUGAUUAGCUUGUUGGUGAGGUAAAAGCUCACCAAGGCGAUGAUCAGUAGCUGGUCUGAGAGGACGAUCAGCCACACUGGGACUGAGACACGGCCCAGACUCCUACGGGAGGCAGCAGUGGGGAAUUUUGGACAAUGGGGGCAACCCUGAUCCAGCAAUGCCGCGUGAGUGAAGAAGGCCUUCGGGUUGUAAAGCUCUUUUGUCAGGGAAGAAACAGCAGCUCUAACACAGUCUGCGAAUGACGGUACCUGAAGAAUAAGCACCGGCUAACUACGUG